GCUUCCUACAAAAACAAAAACAAGCAUCCAUGGCCAGGAGUAAAACACCAUGGGGAAUUUAUAAUAGUAACAAUGUAGCUGAACCUCCAGCACUAUCACCACCUCCUAGUAACCAAGCUUUUUCAUGCAGUGGGCCUUCAUCAGUGUUGUUGAUUGAAUGACUGACUGCUAUCCAGAUAGUUCUGCUGCUGUGGUUCAGACCAAUUGUUUAGAAGAAAGAAUGCUUCAGACUCACAGGAUGACAUGUUAAGAGAUACUAAAACCAGGCCUUACCUUCCCGAGUUGCUGCUCUGUGAGAGAAAAUGCGUCCAUGAAGGCCUGGGCAAUCACAGAUAAACAGCCGUCUAUGUGUGGUGUCUUCUUAAUGUCAAAGACAAACUGAGGGUUCUUCAGGAUGUUUACCCAGAAGCGAAGAGGAAGGCUGUUCCGAGACAGAAAUCUCUUUUCAAGUAUAGCCCUUCGUAGGAGGCGGAUGCUCUGUUUAUCACAGUUUGCAUACGGACGUUUUUGCCCUUGUUAUUGAAGUAUGCAAGUCUGCUUUGCCAAAUAUACCAAGCAACAGAUGGCAGCACCACUCAGCACAAGAAAGGGUUAACCUGACAAGCGCCACUGAAGGGAGGACUAGAACGGGAGAAAUUCAAAGGUGGCCAUUGACGAGAAUUUUCUCCCGAUAGUGCUAUUAUAGCAGGCGACGGUUGCCCAUGAAAACGUUUCAUCACGUGUCUGGAACCUGACCUCUUCUCACCCCCUCUAAGUGCCACACCCUGGCCUAAGCCGCCUGCAUUAUUAGCCCCCAGCUCUCAGUUGUCCCCCAGCUCUCAGCUGUCAGCCUCAGUUGUCCCACAACUAUCAGCAAUCUUAACACAGAGUCAGAUCAGGUCUCUCUCCUCUGCUCAGAACCCUCUGUGCUCUCCAUCCCCCUCGGGAUAAAGCCCCUGCGUGAUCUGGGCCUGGGUCCUCAUCUGUUACUCUUCAUCUUUUUCAUUCCAACCCACCGUGGGCCUCUUGGCUGGUCUUCAUGCAUCCCAGGCAAGGCUGCACCUCAGGACUUCUGCCCAUCUUCCAGAAACUGCCUUUAGCCAGACAGUCUCAAGGUGUAUGCCCUCACCUCUUUCAAGACCUGACUCAAAUGUCAUCAUCUCCUUGAGGCCUUCUCUGACCACUGUUCUGUUACUCUCUAUCCUUCUUUUCUGCUUUGUCCACUGUACUAACCUUCUAAUAUACUACUAAUUUACCUAUUUAUCAUCUCUUCCACCCAUUAGAAUGCAAGCUGAGAACAGGGAUUUUUGUUCAGUUUACUGUUGCAUCUCCAGCACCUAACAGUGCUUGGCAUAUAGUAGGUACUCAGAUACUUGAAUAUGAACUUGGGAAUCAUUCAGAGUCCUUCCAUUAUCUCAACUCUGGCCUAGCAAAUUACCUCCAUCAUAAGGAUGCUGGGCCUCUCCUCAGCUCUACUGUCCUGGCUAAUGCCCCUGCUCAGAUGCCACCCUCUUCACAGUGAAAAGGGGAGCCUACAGCAGCAGCACCUGGGAUUAAGAGGCUAGAGCACAGGAUGGGAGGGAGCCAGGGUAGAUGCUGGGACAGACCCGGAUUCAGUGGGAGAAGAUGAGACCUAGAGCUCUGGCACUUCAGCUUGUAAUACUUCCUUAAAAUGGUCUGUGGACCCUCAGUGUUCGGGAGGGCUUCUGAUUGUGCCGGAAAGUUCUAUCAUGUCUUAACACCGAGUCUUACUCAGUUCAUACACAGAACAUUUCAAAUAGAGGUAAUGAGCUGUUUCUUUACCGAGGAGAAAUUUAGAACAAACCUGGAUGCCUUACCAGGCAACCAGGUAAAACGUUAGAAAACAAAACAGUCCUUUGGCUAAUUCUCAUGAUGUCUGAGUACUGCACUUGCUCAAAUAAAAGCAGAAAUGUCUAUGUAGAAUCAGAAUUCAGACAGUUUGGUAACUGCAAAGGGAUUAAGUAUUCUCUAAUGGAAAAUUAUAUAAUAAAACCACAAAAUACUAAUUUCUCAUCUUUUGCGGGUCAGGUUAACAUUCCUUACAAGGUCUUUUUCAUGCGUUAAAGAUAAGGUUUGUUUAUGUUAUCCUAAAGGAUAGGAUCACAGCAUAGGAAAGGUUUUGUUCUUGUUAAAAAAUAGUAACAGAGGACGAAUCUGCUUUGACAUGAUAGCUUACCAAGCCAAAAGAUUCUGAUCUAGGGAUAAUGAAUCCUUCUGUAACUAUCCAUGCCCUCCUUUUGAAAACAGUCAGUAAUCACAUACUGUUUGUUCCCACCUGUUUGUUUUCCAAAUAUGUACGACAUCAGGAUCUGUGAUUUUUUUGUUUUCAGCCUGGGCAUCCAAAAAGUCAAAAAAGUAUUUUAUAGCAAAUGGGGCCCUGCUGUUGGGUAAGCUCCAAAUGCUUCUAAAAAGUUUUUCAAGCACAGAAUGAAUUGCCACCUGAAAGAGAGCAUCAGACGUGGGAGAUUUAAAAAAUAGGGUAGCAGUUUUGAAUACAAUAGAAAAUGAAAUGCCAGUUCAGAGAAAAUGAUGUACAAAACAGAAAAAAAAACCUGAAGAGAAAAUAUGUAAAAUUAUCAAAUGAGGCCAACACUCCAUGUGGGUCAAGCAUCCUGAAAAUCCAUGCCCAGGUUUAGGUUUAGUCAACAAUGAGGGUAUCGUAGAAGUCUCCAGCAGUUGAAAUAUCAGUUGUAGGGCUACGUGCAUAGAUCAAGAAGCCAUGGAUGUUUAGCUUUUAUUAGUUAUGUUCAGCCUAGAAAAACUCAAUGUUGCUCAGUUCCCAGAAUUGUUCCUGUUGCAUGUAUUUCCAUCAGAGGUUUUUAUUCUCUACUUUCCAAAGCAUCUGAGUGUUUUGCAAAAGACAAAUAGGCAGAUCUCUGUGGGACGGAUGAGAAAAUCAAGAGGCUCUGGCUGUCCUUUAGUCACUAAACAAAUUUACUGAGCUCUCAGCAUACCCUCUGCUAUAAUCUGAAGAAGCAUUGCCCAUCAGGAGACCAGGGCCAGGUGUAGAUAAUAGCAUUUAUAUUGCUAGUCAUUUCAGGGGGGAAAAAAAAGGAUCAGCACAGACUUCUGUUAAUCUCACUAAAAGCCAGAUAAAGUAAAAUUUGCUUCUGAUUUGGUAUUCCAACAGCUUUCACAUCUGACACUUUUACAUGUGAACAGAAUUCUUUACUUUAAAGUGGAAAAAUAAGAAAAGAUUUAGUAGGUUUGCCGUCACUGACCCCACCCUUCAUUUUAUUUGCAAUUCAAAGGGAGUUUUAUUGCUCCUCUAUAAGAACAAAUAAAAACGAAUAAUUACACCGUGAACCGAAAAAACAACAAUAGUGAAAUGGUGGGUAAAGGACUGGGAACAAUAUUAAAUCCCUGAUUGAAGAUACUACAGCCAAAAUUUGUAAAGUGCCAUUAUCUUUGCAGUUUCUAAAAAGAAGAGGAGGGUAGGAAGUGUUUACCAUUUAAACUUUCAUUUUGCUUUGCUAGAAGGCACAAGGGAUUUGUAACAUUUUCACACUUCAGUGGAAAUUAAGUCAAACACAUCAUACACCCCCAAGGUAGCCAUAAAAGCACUCCCAGAACAGUUAAGUGUACCUUGGUCGACAGCAGCUUUGUCAGAUACAUUUCUUUUACUUUGAACUUGUGCUUCCCUCGAUGUCUCUUUCCUUGCACAUCUUGGAAUGCUUCCGAAUCUGGUAAAAUCUAAAGGGAAGACAGACUAGAAGCGUUACCCAAGGAGACCGUUCAUGCUACAGAAGGCAUCCAGUUCAGCGGCAAGCACAAGAAAGACUGAACUCACCAAAUGGCAGUGGUCUUCUGAGUAUUCCACAUCUGAAUGCCAGAGAAAGGGGGAGAAAACAGUCUAUUAAAAAAACAACCACGGGCUAAUUGGCCCUCUCAUAAAAUGCCCCAUUUGUGCUAUAAACAGAAGAGGUUACUUGAGCUCUUCACAGCUAUUUUUUUUUUUUUUUUUUACCCUGUUGCAUCUUAAGAUCUUAACAACGUGAAGACCAAACGGGCCAGGGAGUAGGAAGCAGGUUCCCUAUUCCUGGAAGUAUUAAAACAGGCUGAAUGAUCCUUCGUUGGGUGAGUAGGAGAGGUUCAAGCCCCACUCAUGAACAAAUGUACCUGGGGGCAUCUACUGAGUGCCAGGGGCUCCUAGGCAAAAGGCAAUCUUAACACAGACCUAGUUACCCCCCCCCACCCCAGUGGAAUUUACAUCCUAGCCAAUGAGAGACUUCAUACUAUUAAUUAUACAAUUAUUUAACUACAACUGUGAUAAGGCUCCUGAAGAAGUAUAUGCUAAGAAAGUAACUGACAAAGGCCGGCCCUACUCUGGGAGGUCUUUCAGGGGAAGGGGUGUUGGAGCUGAACCUAAAUGAAUGACUAGUUAGCCAGGCAAAUGGAAGAAGGGGAAUGGGUGCAAAGACCCUAAGGUGGAAGGAACGUGACCCCUCCUAGGAUCUGAAAGAAGGGCAAUGAGUUGGGAGUUUAUAGAGCAAGUGUGACAGUGACACAGGGUGAGGACAGUCCUGAAAGAAAUGUAGUAAAGGGAAUGGUAAACGGAAAAGAAGGAUCAAGGGACUAGGUUUUUUUGUUUUGAAGAUGAAGGAGACUAGAAUACCUUGAAACACUAACAAAAGCUGUAGUAAGUGGGGAGGUAUAGAAAAUUUAGGUGAGAGAAGAUUGUCUGUGGUGUAAGAAUGCUUGGAAGGUUGGAAAUGAUGGGAUUGAAGACACAGGUGAGAGACUGGCCUUGGAUAAGAGGAAGGAAAUCCUGGAAUGCUGGUGGGGGUGGGAAGGAGCACAGGAAGAAAUGGGCAGAUGCAGGUAGGGUGGUAGGUUUGGUGCUAGAUGUUGAUGGAGUUCUGAUUCCUGUUUUCUCUGCGACGUACAGGAUCAAGUCUGCUGCCGAUAGAGCCGUGUAGGUCAGAGCUUUGAGGAGAGAAGGCAGAAUUCUGGAGAACACAGAGUGAGUUACCUAGAGAAAUUUAGUGGGUGUAGGCUGCAUUGAGGGGAAGAGCGUCUUGU